rnacentral:rRNA from 1 species
GACGAACGCUGGCGGCGUGCCUAAUACAUGCAAGUCGAACGCAGUUGCGAACGGGUGAGUAACGCGUAGGUAACUGCCCCAUAGCGGGGAUAACUAUUGGAAACGAUAGCUAAUACCGCAUACUUUUAGAUGGACCUUCGUUGUAUUAGCUAGUUGGUGAGGUAAAGGCUCACCAAGGCGAGGAUACAUAGCCGACCUGAGAGGGUGAACGGCCACACUGGGACUGAGACACGGCCCAGACUCCUACGGGAGGCAGCAGUAGGGAAUCUUCGGCAAUGGACGGAAGUCUGACCGAGCAACGCCGCGUGAGUGAAGAAGGUUUUCGGAGCGUAAAGCUCUGUUGUUAGAGAAGCGGUAACUAACGAGAAAGGGACGGCUAACUACGUGCCAGCAGCCGCGGUAAUUC